rnacentral:rRNA from 1 species
GCCAGACUCCUACGGGAGGCAGCAGUGAGGAAUAUUGGUCAAUGGCCGAAGGGCUGAACCAGCCAAGCCGCGUGAAGGAAUAAGGCCCUACGGGUCGUAAACUUCUUUAGUCAGGGAACAAAGGGUGCCACGUGUGGCGCUGUGAGUGUACCUGAAGAAUAAGCAUCGGCUAACUCCGUGCCAGCAGCCGCGGUAAUACGGAGGAUGCGAGCGUUAUCCGGAUUUAUUGGGUUUAAAGGGUGCGUAGGCGGUUUCUCAGGUCAGCGAAAAAACUCCGGGCCCCACCCCGGCCCCGCCGUUGAAACUGGCGGGCUGGAGUUGGAGAGAAGUACGCGGAAUGCGCGGUGUAGCGGUGAAAUGCUUAGAUAUCGCGCAGAACCCCGAUUGCGAAGGCAGCGUACCGGCUCCACACUGACGCUGAGGCACGAAAGCGUGGGUAUCGAACAGGAUUAGAUACCCCUGUA